rnacentral:rRNA from 1 species
UACGUAGGGGGCAAGCGUUGUCCGGAUUUAUUGGGCGUAAAGAGCGUGUAGGCGGCCUGACAGGUCUGCUGUGAAAACUCGAGGCUCAACCUCGAGAUGUCGGCGGAAACCGUCUGGCUAGAGUUCGGUAGGGGAGACUGGAAUUCCUGGUGUAGCGGUGAAAUGCGCAGAUAUCAGGAGGAACACCGGUGGCGAAGGCGGGUCUCUGGGCCGAUACUGACGCUGAGGAGCGAAAGCGUGGGGAGCGAACAGG